CCUACGGGAGGCAGCAGUAGGGAAUUUUCCACAAUGGGCGAAAGCCUGAUGGAGCAACGCCGCGUGCAGGAUGAAGGCCCUCGGGUCGUAAACUGCUUUUAUGUGAGAAGAAUAUGACGGUAACACAUGAAUAAGGGUCGGCUAACUACGUGCCAGCAGCCGCGGUCAUACGUAGGACCCAAGCGUUAUCCGGAAUUACUGGGCGUAAGAGUUGCGUAGGUGGCAUUAUAAGUGGAGCGUGAAAGCGUGUGGCUCAACCAUACAGCUGCGUUCCAAACUAUAAAGCUUGAGUAUGAGAGAGGUUAUUGGAAUUUCUAGUGUAGGAGUGAAAUCCGUAGAUAUUAGAAGGAACACCGAUGGCGUAGGCAGAUAACUGGCUCAUUACUGACACUAAGGCACGAAAGCGUGGGGAGCAAACGGGAUUAGAUACCCCGGUAGUCCACGCUGUAAACUAUGGAUGCUAGCUGUUACUCACAUCGACCUGAGUAGUAGCGAAGUUAACGCGUAAGCAUUCCCGCUGGNNAGUACGGUCGAGAUUAAAACUCAAAUGAAUUGACGG
rnacentral:rRNA from 1 species